GGGGGAUGCGACCGCUAUCACAUGCAGUCGAGCGGUAACAUUUCUAGCUUGCUAGAAGAUGACGAGCGGCGGACGGGUGAGUAAUGCUUGGGAACAUGCCUUGAGGUGGGGGACAACCAUUGGAAACGAUGGCUAAUACCGCAUAAUGUCUACGGACCAAAGGGGGCUUCGGCUCUCGCCUUUAGAUUGGCCCAAGUGGGAUUAGCUAGUUGGUGAGGUAACGGCUCACCAAGGCGACGAUCCCUAGCUGGUUUGAGAGGAUGAUCAGCCACACUGGAACUGAGACACGGUCCAGACUCCUACGGGAGGCAGCAGUGGGGAAUAUUGCACAAUGGGCGCAAGCCUGAUGCAGCCAUGCCGCGUGUGUGAAGAAGGCCUUAGGGUUGUAAAGCACUUUCAGUCAGGAGGAAAGGUUAGUAGUUAAUACCUGCUAGCUGUGACGUUACUGACAGAAGAAGCACCGGCUAACUCCGUGCCAGCAGCCGCGGUAAUACGGAGGGUGCGAGCGUUAAUCGGAAUUACUGGGCGUAAAGCGUACGCAGGCGGUUUGUUAAGCGAGAUGUGAAAGCCCCGGGCUUAACCUGGGAACUGCAUUUCGAACUGGCAAACUAGAGUGUGAUAGAGGGUGGUAGAAUUUCAGGUGUAGCGGUGAAAUGCGUAGAGAUCUGAAGGAAUACCGAUGGCGAAGGCAGCCACCUGGGUCAACACUGACGCUCAUGUACGAAAGCGUGGGGAGCAAACAGGAUUAGAUACCCUGGUAGUCCACGCCGUAAACGAUGUCUACUAGGAGCUGGGGUCUUCGGACAACUUUUCCAAAGCUAACGCAUUAAGUAGACCGCCUGGGGAGUACGGCCGCAAGGUUAAAACUCAAAUGAAUUGACGGGGGCCCGCACAAGCGGUGGAGCAUGUGGUUUAAUUCGAUGCAACGCGAAGAACCUUACCUACACUUGACAUACAGAGACUUACCAGAGAUGGUUUGGUGCCUUCGGGACUCUGAUACAGGUGCUGCAUGCUGUCGUCAGCUCGUGUGUGAGAUGUUGGGUAGUCCCGCACGAGCGCACCCUAUCUAGUGCAGCGAUCGUCGGACUCUAGAGACUGCGUGAUAACCGAGAAGUUGGACACGUCAGUCAUCAUGGCCCUUACUUUAGCUCACACCUGCUCAUGCAGUACAGGAGACAGCGACAUCGAUUGAGGCGAAUCUAAGCUGACUAUCCGAUGAUGCACUGCAUCUGAGUCGAUCUGUAUCGAUCAAGUGGCGGUUACUCG
rnacentral:rRNA from 1 species